rnacentral:misc_RNA from 1 species
UUUCCGUAGGUGAACCUGCGGAAGGAUCAUUCAUAAUAAGUGCUUUAUGGCACUUUUUUAAAUCCAUAUCCACCUUGUGUGCAAUGUCAGGGUUGAUUUUUCUCUCGAGAGGAUCAACCCCAAACAUCAACUGUAUCUCAACUCUUUGUCUGAAAAAUAUUAUGAAUAAAACAAUUCAAAAUACAACUUUCAACAACGGAUCUCUUGGCUCUC